UACGUAGGGUGCGAGCGUUAAUCGGAAUUCUGGGCGUAAAGCGUGCGCAGGCGGUAAUGUAAGACAGAUGUGAAAUCCCCGGGCUUAACCUGGGACCUGCAUUUGUGACUGCAUUGCUGGAGUGCGGCAGAGGGGGAUGGAAUUCCGCGUGUAGCAGUGAAAUGCGUAGAUAUGCGGAGGAACACCGAUGGCGAAGGCAAUCCCCUGGGCCUGCACUGACGCUCAUGCACGAAAGCGUGGGAGCAACAGG
rnacentral:rRNA from 1 species